GCCAGAAACAUCUACCUAGCGCGUGCUUUGCUUUAACCAAACUUGAACAUUUCUCUUGUGUACUAGUAGAGUACUACUGCUUAUUGAACCAGUGUUUAUUUCAGUUCGAGGUAUACUUGAUGAACAUGUUCCAAAUCUGCCAUCAAGCUUGCUUCCAUGUUUAACCCAAGAGGAAAGAAACUAGUAUAUCCACACAGAGACCUACACAAGAGUGUUUGGAGCAACUGCUUGUUAUGCCCCCAAAUAGAGACUUCAGGUGGAGCCAAAGAUCCAAGAGCCUCAGCAUCUACAGGAGAGGCUACAAGAGUGCCUGUCCCACCAGCAUCAGCAUGCACCUGCCUAUCAGCAGCUCCUGGCAGCUUGGCAGCAGCUGAAGUUGGAGAAGUUCACUACAGAGCCAGAUCAUGGGCCAGCUGCAGCACAAGGAGACCCAGACCAGAGCGGCACUGAAGAUAGCCUGCUAAGACAUGGCUCUAACGAGGCAGCUUUGGGAAGGCCUCCACCUAUGCCUUCUAAGUCUUUUCUGGUACCCUAGGAGCACAUGUUAAUUUCUGGGCAAGAGAACCAGCAACUGCUGGCAUAGCCGAACCUCUAGAAUCUACAUGGGAAAGGUAGAGUAGAAGAGCCAGGAGGAGGCUCAUGGUGUAGAGGAGCAGUUGCACCAGUACCUGACCCACGUGCAGCAGGAUGCAGGAUCCCAGCAGCAGCUCUGGGCAGCUUGUAGUCAGCUGAGUGGCGAGCAUGAGGCGUGCAGUCCUCCUGCAGCCAGGCCUCAGCCCGGAUGGCAAGCGAGAGGGCCAGCCAGGAUUAUAAAAGGUCCAGGUGAGGCAGCUUCUGAGACGAAGGCUAAGUAGAAGAACCACUGCUUUGUGUCUUUUUACACACACACACACACACACACACACACACACACACACACUCACAGAGAGGCACUCACAUAUUCAAGAGAAAGAGGGAGAGGUGUGUGUGUAUGUGAGGGAAAGAUAGACACUAUGUGCAUGCUAGGGCUCCUUUCUACUCUGUACUUAUUCCAGAUGGACAUGUGGUUCUGGGGAAUGGAACCCAGGCUUGCAGUCUUUUCUAGAAUGUGCUUUUAACUGCCGAGCUAUGUUGCCAGCUCCACUCUGUCUUCUUACUGUCUCACCACCUAGUAGGAACAUCUGGAGGCAAGCAGACAGGACAAACAGCCACUACAGGUCCACCUGACCAACCAAAUUCUCUCAGGGAAAGGUGAAGGAGAUCACAUGGAGGAGGAACCCUGAGGGACUCAUGGAUGAAUAGAAUGCAUCCCCUUAAAGAGGCUUUGACCAGGAGGAAAGGAGGUGAUUGAACCAGAGCUCCUCAGCGAAUCUGACCAUCCAGAGGACCUAGGCAGCCAAUAGGCCAUGGUGAGCUAGUGAGAAGGUCUGCCUUGUUCACUCUCUUCCUGGCCUUCCUGGGGGCCAUUCCUGCCCUCAUGCCCAGGUCUUCCUACAGGUGGAGCUAAAAAGAGCUUAGCAUCUUCAGGAGCAGCUACACCAGUGCCCAUACCACCUGCACCAGUAUGCUGCCACCCGUCAGCAAAUCCAUGCUGUCAACACCUGUUCUCAGAUGAGGUGGCUGUCCAUAAGCAGCUUGCUCUAUAGAGGCAGCCUGUGGACCAGCUGCAGCCAGAUGAGGUCCAGGCCGGUCAGCAGUUAGCAGAGACCCAGAUGACACAGUGGUAGGGCUAGACCCACGUGGGAGAACUUGGCCUCUCACCCUUUCCCUGUUCCUUAGGAUUGCCUGGAAGUCAUGGGCCAGGACAAUCAGCUGGGCCAAAUCCAGAAUGCCCAUGCUGGGUGACAAAUCCUGCAUUUCCUUCUACCACGAAGAAGAAAAUGAGAUCAUUACUGUUUAAAAGCCUCCCAUAGGACACCUAACGCUGCACCCAGUGCAGUCUCUGCCACUCCUUACCACUUCUCCUCAUUGUUGAGUGGUCACCUAGCAUGUGAGAAGCCAUAGCUUGGAUCCCCAGUGCCUCCCUGUCCUUGGAGAUGGAUGGUGCAGGUGGAUCAGAAGUUCAAGCUCACCCUCGGCUACCUAAUGCAUCAGCAGACAGCCAGGUCUAAAAGAGACAGUGAACAGGUUUUGACCCUUUUCCUUCUUGGCCGCUGCUAUUCUUCCUCCAAAUUCCUUUUGGAAUAAAAGAUCUAGAGACUCAGCAAGCAUACCUCCUUCCUCUCUGAGGCCCAGGAGACCUUGCUGCCUUCCUCACCAACAAGACCUCCACCAGAGGGCCUGGAUUCCUACUCUGUGGCACUCUGGCAUGAACAGCUAGACAGCAUUUUCAUGGACUUGAGACUACAAGGGCACAGUCUGGCAGGAAACAUGGUGCAUUCAGCAAAGCACUGUGGAUUUUGUUUUAUA